rnacentral:lncRNA from 1 species
CAAGCUCACAGCAAGACAUCAGCUCUGAGGGUGAAGGAUGUUGCGUCAGGGCAGCGUGUGACAAAAUCCAGCAGCAGUGUUUCACAGAAGUGCAGCAGGUGCCUCCCUGUUGGUUGUGACUCACUCGGGUUCAUACAGGCAGUGGGAGCCCAGCCCUUGGAAGAUUCUGUACAAAGUGAAGAAGCCCAGAGGCAGCCCAGGAGCGAUACUUUUUAAGGUGUUUUCCAUCAGUCCACAGGUGGUGGCUACACGGACAGGGGAUAAUGCUGGUACCUGCAACAGGAUGAAUGAAGUCAGAGGGAGUAUAAGUCCAUUUUCAUUUGAUCAUAGUUUCCUCUUUUUUUCAAUCUUAGCUGUCAAAGAGGCAAUCUUUUCCUUGUAAAGUGGAAGGAAGAUCUAAGCAAUACAAGACCUAUCUUCAAAAAUACAUACCAAGUGUCUUGAUGUUUGUUUUAAAGUAUAUUUAAACUUUGCAAGAAAAAAAAAAAACAAAACAACAACUUUCUGCUUUGAGGGUCUUCCCAUUCAAAAGACAAGCCAUCUACGAAGUCCUAACUGAAGCUAAUACUGUAAUUACAC